AUGCUCCAGUCAUUCUUAGAUGACAGCCCAAAUGAUGAUUGGGUUUCCAGCUCCUUAGAGGAAUGCCAGGCAAUGCCUGCACAAAAGUUAGGGCCUGAGGGGUCUAAUUCUGCUCAAAAUUGUCCUGCAGCUAGUACUUCCUGUGAUGAAAAUGUGUCAAAAUCUAAGGAACCAGCCCCUGAUACUGAUACUACUUCCUGUGAGGAAGCAGCAUCUUCUGCAACAGACAAGCCAACAACAAGAUUGCUAGCUGUUAACGGUGGCUUGGUUCCGGAGUCAUCACUGAGGCCUGUUACAGGAAGAAACUCUCAUAUCCUGAAGCAACAAAAGAUAAAUUUGCUUGAUAUAGAUGCAGCGUUGCCAGAGGAAGCUUUGACAACCUCAAAGUCUCAACAAAUGCGAAGGCGUUCAUGGCGUGCUUUCGUCAAGCAUGCAGAAUCAAUAUCCGAGAUGGUACUGGCGACCAGCAUGUUGGAGAGAGUGAUAAAAUCCGAGUUCCUGAAGAAUGAUUGGUGGUACUGGUCCUCCUUUACAGUAGCCAUGAAGACCUCAACUGUAUCCUCGCUCGCUCUCAGGAUCUACACUCUCGACAACUGUAUCAUGUACACCAAGCAGACUAACACUGUGCCACCGGCUGACAGUACAAAGGUUGUGAACAAGGGGAGGAAGGGGAAAGAGCCAGAACCAUCAGCGUCGUAA
rnacentral:rRNA from 1 species